UCUGGUCCUGAAAGCAAACUCGUCCAACUCUUUCUCUCUCACUUGUCUCUUCUCUAACUUCUCGAACUCAACUCUUCUCCGCUCGAAAAAACCAGAGAAAAAAAUGAGUGAAAUUGGGUUAGACAAUUCAAGAGAAACCUAAAUCAAACCGAAAUGAGAAGUUAAACCAAAAUCUUCUACUGAUUUAUGAUUUUCUAAGCCUAAAAACUCAUAUGAAAAACCUUUUUACGAAUCAAAAUCUUUGAUUUUGUAAACUGAUUUUUGCUCUUAGAUUGAAACUAUCAGAAGCAGAUUCAACUGCAGAAGUAGAAACCCUAGGAAUCUCUAUCCUCAGAAGAAGAUUAUCAGAAGCAGAUUCAAUUGAAGAAGUAGAAACCCUAGGAAUCUCUAUCCUCAGAAGAAGAUUGAAGUAAAAUCCUUAAAGAUUCAGUAGAAUGUCCUCCAAUCGAAGCAGUUCUGGUCAGUCUACAUCAGCUAUCACAUCAUUGCAGCAAAAUGUAUCCAGCUCGUCAGCAAAACCGAAGCUGGUUGUUGAAGUCAAUAUUGCUGGCAAGAUCGAAGGAGAUGCGCAGCGGGAUUCUAUACUAGGGUAGGAGAGCUCAAAAGGACUCAUAUUCCUAUAUCAUACAAGGAGUGGAGGUUGGUCCCUGUCAAUUUUAAAGACGAUGUGUGGAAUACUUUGAUGGGUGAAUUUUCAUUGACUGUUGACCCAACAGUCUGUCGUGAAAUCAUUGAAGUGUCAUUUCCACCGUAUUAUAGGCGAUUCAAAUACGAGUUAAGGCAGGAACUAAAACAGAUAGUAAAAUCUCUUAGACAAGCAGAAAAAUCAUCUCUUAGAGUAGAACAAGCAAUAAGGGAGGGAGUUGAAAUACCUGAGGUUGAGGAGGAAGAUGAAGAUGAAGCACUUCCAGAACUCACUCCAGAAAUCUGGGAAAGUGUAAGAGCAGAUGUUCCACCUGGGAUUAAUGGGAUUAAUCCAAAUAUCUGGGAGGAAUUUGUGGAUAUGGAGAAAAAUCCUGAAAAGAUAGCAAAGAAUAAGAUGAAUGCAGAGAGCAAAGCAAAGAACAUUAUCUACCAUACACUUGGGAGGUGCACAUACCACAACAAGAAGCAUAAGUUAGUAAGUAUUCAUGUUCCUGAUCUUCUUUUUGGUCUUCAGAUACUAGUAACAACCUAUUAACCAACCAUUUAUGUUUGUAUUUGUAUGACGAAAUGAGCGAAAAAGUGGUACCACCGUCGACUACAGAGAAGUGGUUAUACGGACAUUUAAAACGUGAUGGGACUGUCCAUCCUAGUGCACUUGAAGUGCAUGGUAAAGUAUCAGGGGAUCUAGAGGAACAACGUUAAAGGAGAUCAGUCAAGUUCUAGUAAUGUGGUUUCAGCUGAACUAGAGGAGGUGUUUGGAAGAAAACGAAGUGGUGGGAUUCGUGGCUACUCAUCCCAUAUGUCGAAGAAGCAAAUUGGAAUGGCAGAAAUUGCACAUUAUGCCCUUCAACAAAGAGAUAAUGAGAAUGCACUUAAACUAAACAAAAUCGAAGCCGAUGUGGGGUUUAUGGGCGGUAAACUGAUUGGUAUUGAAGGUGAAUUGGGGUCCUUGGGCAGCACAGUGAAUGAGAUGUUGAACUGCAUGAAACGCAAGAUGCCUACAUCAUCAUCUCGCGCAGGCAUUCCCAGCCCUGAGAAAGGGUCCACUUAGGUCAUCAACUUGAUCAAAGCUUGGAUCAUGCUGACGGUGUAACCAAUGAACCUCCUUCCUUGCAUGUUCAACUACUAGAUAAUAGAAGAAGAGUUGUUGCAUCAGGAUGUAUUGUUGCUGGAGAUUAUGUUCAUUGUAGAAAGGUGAAGCCAACAGAGAAGAGGGUCUAUGUCGAGGAAGUUCAUGAUCAGUCUGCGUUAGUAUGGGGUGGUCCACAAGGAGAUUACGUUAAAUUUUUGAAGGAUCUGGAACUACCUACUUUUCUAAUCUGGUCUGAGGAUAGGUUACGGUUCGUGUCGGUCAAGCUGGUUGGUGGAAAUGAAGGAGAGCUGCCCAUACAUGGUACUUUUCAGUUCCAAUUCUAUCUUAUACAAGUGUACAACCAGGACAUAAUGAUCUCCCACAAUUGAGGCCAAAGAAAAAGAACAAUUAAAUGCAGUGCAGAGCCGGAGAAUUUGUUUUCUAGCAUCUUAAUUGGUACUUUUACUUCCAAAAAUUGUCUGUUUUACUCAAGAACAUCUUAUUUGAAAUUUGUGUCACAGGUCUGAUUUUGGAAUCUGUUACUGGUCUUUCAAGCCAGGUGUAAAAGUUAAGCCUUUGAAGCAACCCCAGGCACAUCAGAAAGUAUAUGAUGAGACUGACUUGGCAAAUCUUCAGAAGACGAAAAGGAAAGCUUUAUGUUAGGUGGUGUUGGACUAAAGAAAAGUGGAAAGAUCGGAACAAGAUGCUCCAGUAAAGGUGCCACUAUAAGGAAAUCAAGAAGACAGUUGGAUAAGCAUAAUAUGAUUUGAGUGAACAAGUUGUAGGUAAUUUCUUAUUUCUCAAGUUCUUGUAGAAAUGUAUCCACUGCCUAUGCGCGCAUGAUGAGUUCCGGUGACAAUGAUUGAACAAGAAACCCAAAACAUCCUCAAUUUUGAUCCCAAAUUGUAGAGAUAGACUUGUUAUCUAUAGUUUAUUUUGUUAAAUUUCAGUCAUCUUACACCUGUAAUUGUAACGAUUGAUUGUAUGGAUGGCUCCAUAUGUAAUGCUGCAAUUCCAUAUGUGAUAUAAUAGAAUGGAUUGAAUAAUGGUUUCAUAUAUGAUUUGGAAUGGAGUGGCUAGAUACCUGUAUUCUGGUG